GACGAACGCUGGCGGCGUGCUUAACACAUGCAAGUCGAACGGAAAGGCCCGGCUUUUGUGGGGUGCUCGAUUGGCGAACGGGUGAGUAACACGUGAGUAACCUGCCCUUGACUUUGGGAUAACUUCAGGGAACUGGGGCUAAUACCGGAUAGGAGCUCCUGCUGCAUGGGGGGGGUUGGAAAGUGUCGGCGGUUGGGGAUCGACUCGCGGGUUAUCCGCUUGUUGGUCGGGUAGUUGCUUACCAAGGUUGUGACGGGUAGGCGGCCUGAGAGGGUGACCGGGCACCUUGGGACUGCGAUACGGCGCAGUAUGCUACGGGAGGCAGUAGGGGGGAAUCUGGCACAAUGGGCGGAAGCGUGAUGUGGCAACGUCGCGUGCGUGAUGACGGCCUUCGGGUUGUAAACCGAUUUCGCCUGAGACGAAGAGUGAGUGACGGUACUGGGUAAAGAAGCACCGGCUAACUACGUA
rnacentral:rRNA from 1 species